rnacentral:rRNA from 1 species
CGUAGGUGGCGAGCGUUGUCCGGAAUUACUGGGUGUAAAGCGCGUGUAGGCGGGAGGCCAAGUCUGCGGUGAAAUCGCUCGGCUCAACUGGGCGGGGUCCGUGGAAACUGGUCACCUGGAGGACGGUAGAGGCGAGUGGAAUUCCCGGUGUAGUGGUGAAAUGCGUAGAGAUCGGGAGGAACACCAGUGGCGAAGGCGGCUCGCUGGGCCGGACCUGACGCUGAGACGCGAAGGCGUGGGGAGCGAACGGG